UUAAGCGACUAAGCGUACACGGUGGAUGCCCUGGCAGUCAGAGGCGAUGAAGGACGUGCUAAUCUGCGAAAAGCGUCGGUAAGGUGAUAUGAACCGUUAUAACCGGCGAUGUCCGAAUGGGGAAACCCAGUGCAAUUCGUUUGCACUAUCGUUAACUGAAUACAUAGGUUAACGAGGCGAACCGGGGGGAACUGAAACAUCUAAGUACCCCGAGGAAAAGAAAUCAACCGAGAUUCCCCCAGUAGCGGCGAGCGAACGGGGAGCAGCCCAGAGUCUGAAUCAGCUUGUGUGUUAUGUGGAACGGUCUGGAAAGUCCGACGGUACAGGGUGAUAGUCCCGUACACCAAAAUGCACAGGCUGUGAACUCGAAGAGUAGGGCGGGACACGUGGUAUCCUGUCUGAAUAUGGGGGGACCAUCCUCCAAGGCUAAAUACUCCUGACUGACCGAUAGUGAACCAGUACCGUGAGGGAAAGGCGAAAAGAACCCCGGCGAGGGGAGUGAAAAAGAACCUGAAACCGUGUACGUACAAGCAGUGGGAGCACCUUCGGGUGUGACUGCGUACCUUUUGUAUAAUGGGUCAGCGACUUAUAUUCUGUAGCAAGGUUAACCGUAUAGGGGGAGCCGCAGGGAAACCGAGUCUUAACUGGGCGUUAAGUUGCAGGGUAUAGACCCGAAACCCGGUGAUCUAGCCAUGGGCAGGUUGAAGGUUGGGUAACACUAACUGGAGGACCGAACCGACUAAUGUUGAAAAAUUAGCGGAUGACUUGUGGCUGGGGGGUGAAAGGCCAAUCAAACCGGGAGAUAGCUGGUUCUCCCCGAAAGCUAUUUAGGUAGCGCCUCGUGAAUUCAUCUUCGGGGGUAGAGCACUGUUUCGGCUAGGGGGUCAUCCCGACUUACCAACCCGAUGCAAACUACGAAUACCGAAGAAUGUUAUCACGGGAGACACACGGCGGGUGCUAACGUCCGUCGUGAAGAGGGAAACAACCCAGACCGCCAGCUAAGGUCCCAAAGUCAUGGUUAAGUGGGAAACGAUGUGGGGAAGGCACAGACAGCCAGGAUGUUGGCUUAGAAGCAGCCAUCAUUUAAAGAAAGCGUAAUAGCUCCACUGAUCGAGUCGGCCUGCGCGGAAGAUGUAACGGGGCUAAACCAUGCACCGAAGCUGCGGCAGCGACACUAUGUGUUGUUGGGUAGGGGAGCGUUCUGUAAGCCUGCGAAGGUGACCUGUGAGGGUUGCUGGAGGUAUCAGAAGUGCGAAUGCUGACAUAAGUAACGAUAAAGCGGGUGAAAAGCCCGCUCGCCGGAAGACCAAGGGUUCCUGUCCAACGUUAAUCGGGGCAGGGUGAGUCGACCCCUAAGGCGAGGCCGAAAGGCGUAGUCGAUGGGAAACAGGUUAAUAUUCCUGUACUUGGUGUUACUGCGAAGGGGGGACGGAGAAGGCUAUGUUAGCCGGGCGACGGUUGUCCCGGUUUAAGCAUGUAGGCUGGUUAUCCAGGCAAAUCCGGAUAAUCAAGGCUGAGGUGUGAUGACGAGGCACUACGGUGCUGAAGUAACAAAUGCCCUGCUUCCAGGAAAAGCCUCUAAGCAUCAGGUAACAUUAAAUCGUACCCCAAAACCGACACAGGUGGUCAGGUAGAGAAUACCAAGGCGCUUGAGAGAACUCGGGUGAAGGAACUAGGCAAAAUGGUGCCGUAACUUCGGGAGAAGGCACGCUGGUGUGUAGGUGAAGUCCCUGCGGAUGGAGCUGAGACCAGUCGAAGAUACCAGCUGGCUGCAACUGUUUAUUAAAAACACAGCACUGUGCAAACACGAAAGUGGACGUAUACGGUGUGACGCCUGCCCGGUGCCGGAAGGUUAAUUGAUGGGGUUAUCCGUAAGGAGAAGCUCUUGAUCGAAGCCCCGGUAAACGGCGGCCGUAACUAUAACGGUCCUAAAGGUAGCGAAAUUCCUUGUCGGGUAAGUUCCGACCUGCACGAAUGGCGUAAUGAUGGCCAGGCUGUCUCCACCCGAGACUCAGUGAAAUUGAACUCGCUGUGAAGAUGCAGUGUACCCGCGGCAAGACGGAAAAGACCCCGUGAACCUUUACUAUAGCUUGACACUGAACAUUGAGCCUUGAUGUGUAGGAUAGGUGGGGAGGCUUUGAAGCGUGGACGCCAGUCUGCGUGGAGCCAACCUUGAAAUACCACCCUUUAAUGUUUGAUGUUCUAACGUUGGCCCCUGACCGGGGUUGCGGACAGUGUCUGGUGGGUAGUUUGACUGGGGCGGUCUCCUCCCAAAGCGUAACGGAGGAGCACGAAGGUUAGCUAAUCCUGGUCGGACAUCAGGAGGUUAGUGCAAUGGCAUAAGCUAGCUUGACUGCGAGCGUGACGGCGCGAGCAGGUGCGAAAGCAGGUCAUAGUGAUCCGGUGGUUCUGAAUGGAAGGGCCAUCGCUCAACGGAUAAAAGGUACUCCGGGGAUAACAGGCUGAUACCGCCCAAGAGUUCAUAUCGACGGCGGUGUUUGGCACCUCGAUGUCGGCUCAUCACAUCCUGGGGCUGAAGUAGGUCCCAAGGGUAUGGCUGUUCGCCAUUUAAAGUGGUACGCGAGCUGGGUUUAGAACGUCGUGAGACAGUUCGGUCCCUAUCUGCCGUGGGCGCUGGAGAAUUGAGGGGGGCUGCUCCUAGUACGAGAGGACCGGAGUGGACGCAUCACUGGUGUUCGGGUUGUCAUGCCAAUGGCACUGCCCGGUAGCUAAAUGCGGAAGAGAUAAGUGCUGAAAGCAUCUAAGCACGAAACUUGCCCCGAGAUGAGUUCUCCCUGAGACUUUAAGUCUCCUGAAGGAACGUUAAAGACGAUGACGUUGAUAGGCCGGGUGUGUAAGCGCAGCGAUGCGUUGAGCUAACCGGUACUAAUGAACCGUGAGGCUUAACCUU
rnacentral:rRNA from 1 species